UACGGAGGGUGCAAGCGUUAUCCGGAUUCACUGGGUUAAAGGGUGCGUAGGCGGAUUGAUAAGUCAGUGGUGAAAUCCCCGAGCUUAACUUGGGAACUGCCGUUGAUACUAUCUGUCUUGAAUACCGUGGAGGUGAGCGGAAUAUGUCAUGUAGCGGUGAAAUGCUUAGAUAUGACAUAGAACACCAAUUGCGAAGGCAGCUCGCU
rnacentral:rRNA from 1 species